AUCUAUCCGACGAGUCCCAAAUAGGACGAAAGGCGUGUCUUGGAU
rfam:Schistosoma mansoni, Puerto Rico, WGS project CABG01000000 data, contig: 0160